UUGGUCUAUCUUUUUCUGGUUUUCUUGGCGCCGCUGAUCGAUUGCUUUCCAACCAUUGAUUCGUGGAGAUCUGAAACCCUUAGGAACCUUGAGGAACGAGUCCGAUCGCCGCAGCCGUGCCGAAGGUGGCGGUUCCUAUUUCUCAACAGCCCUAGAAUUGAUUGGACAAGGUUAACGACUCCGCUCUGUGGCAGGACUGGAUCUUCCCGCUCUCAUAAUCUUCGAAUCAUCCUCUCUCUCUCUCUCUCUCUCUCUCUCUCUCUCUCGCUGGUUCGCUAAUUCGACCAAUCGGUGCCCCGUUGGUAAUCUUUGAAAAGGAUUUCGACAAGGAAAAAAUGAUUGAAGUUGUCGAAAGAAGAACGAAAGAUUAAAUCUUGCAGAUUCAACUGAUUUGGAUCGAAUGUAGGGUUCCAGUAUAUUGUUGGACGACGCAAAAGGUGUUCCAUUUCUUGAAUUCCUUGGUAGUGUUUGAUUACAGUUGUUGGUUUUAUACUAGAUGCAACUUCUACGAGUUGAUGAAUAAAGCAGGAAAAUAUGGAUUAUUAGGUGUUUCAUUCUUUCCAGCCCUUGGGUUUCUCCUUUAUUGAGGGAGGUAAGUUUUUUAUCAUACUCUUCCCUGAUAUGUGAUCCAUCCAGUCUUAAUGUGUUUUCUUCAAAUUUUUGUAAUUUUCAGUCUCCUGUUGUUACUCAUGUCCUUGUUGCAAAUCAAUCAUAGAGUUCAUAUUUGAUUAGCAAGAUAACUCAAACCUAAAAUAUCAUGCUCAUUUAUACCUUUAUUUAUCAUCCUUGCUUCUGUUUUGAUACGUAAGAAUCAUUUUGUUAUAUCUACUUCAUCUGAUGACGGGUGUUCUAAGAUUUAUACAAUUCUUGUGGUGUCUCUGCUUGAGCUAUAUGGCCAUUAUGACUGGUUGCAGGUAUGCUCUAACUUAGAUGAGUGGGUUAUCUCAUAACAUGUGUGAACGACAAGAUUUAAAAUCUCAUGGUAUACUACUUGUACCAGGUGGUAUCUGCUGGAGUGUUACAUGGUCAGUCUAGCGGUAUACAGUGAUUCAGGGCAAACCAGCCUUCAAUGCCUUUAAUGAUACUGUUCAAGUAUUGUACCGGUCCAGCUUGUGAUUUUAAUGGUAUAUUGCCUGUACCAGGGGGUCUAUGCUGGACUGGUACAUCGACAGUCAACUACCAGGUUGGAUUUGCCACAACUGUAUGUUUCUCUUGUUUCUUGCCGGGAUGCAUCUUGAAAGUUCAAUCCCUGGAAAACAGUUCUUGGUUUAAAUGCAAUUGACAAAGCUAUAAACCUCGACGUUCUCAGCAUCAUGCUAAGGCGCACAAGACAGAGGAGCUACAGCUAAAGAUGUGUCAUCUUCAGAGUAUCCAAUCCCUGGAAAACAGUUCUUGUUUUAAAUGUAUUGGACAAAGCUGCAGACCUCGACGUUCUCAGCACCGUGGUCACCAUCAUAGUAUCCAAACUCCAUCAAUCGAGUUCAUGUGCUCAUUCUCUGCUGGCUGCAGUGUUGUUGUUGAUGCAGCAAGGCGCACAAGACAGAGGAGCUACGGCUGAAGAUGUGGAUGAUGAAGCCGCAGCCACUGGGUGUCAUCUUCACAUGAACGUGAGACAUGAAUCCUUGUCCUUUUCCACAGUUUGCUCGUGCAUUACAAUUAACAUGGCUGAUGGGCAUCCCCAGCGGUACGGCACACUCAAUCCGAAUAAAGAUUGGAACAUGGCUCACCACAUGGUGGUCCUUUUUGACUUUGACCAGCCACGUGCACUCAAAUUUUGCACGUCAGCACACACAUUAAACGAACACUAGACUCUAUUAUCA